GGGAAUGUGCUUAGUAUACAGGAAGUAUACUUGUGUGAAAAUGUUCUAAGUCAUACAGUACCAUGUAUGAUGAAGCACUCAAGGUUGUUGAUUUUGAAACCAUGUUUCACUGUCUAGCCAUGCUAGUCUGGAACUCACUGGGUAGACCAGGCUGGCUUCCAACUCACAGAGAUCCACCUGUUUCUGCCUGCUGAGUGCUGGACUUAAAGGUGUAUACCAGCGUGCUUGGUGGUUUCCCUGUGGCUCUAAGGACACUGAGUCUUGUCUUUCCAUGUGCUCUCCACUGACAGGUGGAAACAUGGUCUGGUAACACCACGCUUCCGGAUGUGAUUGUGGAGCUGGAUUGCUUAACCUGGGCUAAGUCAUUUAUCUUCCUGUGUCCCUCAGUUCUUCAUGGGCUGCAGAAGUGUUAAGAGUGCCUGCUUGUCUUCGAGAGGACCAGAGAUCAAUUCCCAGCAUCCAUCCCUGGAAGCUACAGGGAAUUCAACACUCUUCCUGACUUCCUCAAACACCUGCACACAUAUGGCUUAUAGACACACAGGGAAAGAAGUACCAUCUUUAUGAUACUAAUCUCUGGACACGUG
rnacentral:lncRNA from 1 species